rnacentral:rRNA from 1 species
ACUCAAAGGAAUAGACGGGGACCCGCACAAGCGGUGGAUGAUGUGGUUUAAUUCGAUGCAACGCGAAAAACCUUACCCACCUUUGACAUGUAUGGAAGUCGCUAGAGAUAGCUUCGUGCUCGAAAGAGAGCCAUAACACAGGUGCUGCAUGGCUGUCGUCAGCUCGUGUCGUGAGAUGUUGGGUUAAGUCCCGCAACGAGCGCAACCCUUGUCAUUAGUUGCUACAUUUAGUUGGGCACUCUAAUGAGACUGCCGGUGACAAACCGGAGGAAGGUGGGGAUGACGUCAAGUCCUCAUGGCCCUUAUAGGUGGGGCUACACACGUCAUACAAUGGCUGGUACAAAGGGUUGCCAACCCGCGAGGGGGAGCCAAUCCCAUAAAACCAGUCGUAGUCCGGAUCGCAGUCUGCAACUCGACUGCGUGAAGUCGGAAUCGCUAGUAAUCGUGGAUCAGAAUGUCACGGUGAAUACGUUCCCGGGUCUUGCACACACCGCCCGU